GGCGUGUGUGCCGUGUCGUGUUUGUCAUCCUUCCAGAGAGCUGCGUCUACCAUUCACUUGGCCGGACGUACGCGAUCUGGAUCGAUUACUUUGAAAAAAUUAGAGUGUUUAAAGCAGGCUUACGCUGUGAAUACAUUAGCAUGGAAUAAUAAUUUAGGACUUCGGUUCUAUUUUGUUGGUUUCUAGGACUGAAGUAAUGAUUGAUAGGGACAGUUGGGGGUGCUAGUAUUCCGCGGCCAGAGGUGAAAUUCUUGGAUUCGCGGAAGACUAACCACUGCGAAAGCAUUCACCAAGGAUGUCUUCUUUAAUCAAGAACGAAAGUUGGGGGAUCGAAGACGAUCAGAUACCGUCGUAGUCUCAACCAUAAACUAUACCGACUAAGGAUCAGUGAACGUUGAUUUACGACUUCAUUGGCACUUUGUGAGAAAUCAAAGUCUUUGGGUUCCGGGGGGAGUAUGGUCGCAAGGCUGAAACUUAAAGGAAUUGACGGAAGGGCACCACCAGGAGUGGAGCCUGCGGCUUAAUUUGACUCAACACGGGAAAACUUACCAGGUCCAGACACAGGAAGGAUUGACAGAUUGAAGCUCUUUCUUGAUUCUGUGGGGAGUGGUGCAUGGCCGUUCUUAGUUGGUGGAUUGAUCUGUCUGGUUUAUUCCGAUAACGAACGAGACCUUAGUCUGCUAAAUAGUGUUGCGAACCACCUAACGGGUGAAUCCAGGGAGGUACUGGGGCUUCG
rnacentral:rRNA from 1 species